rnacentral:rRNA from 1 species
GACGAACGCUGGCGGCGUGCCUAACACAUGCAAGUCGAGCGAAUGAAGUUCCUUCGGGAAUGGAUUUAGCGGCGGACGGGUGAGUAACACGUGGGCAACCUGCCUCAUAGAGGGGAAUAGCCUUCCGAAAGGGAGAUUAAUACCGCAUAAGAUUGUAGUAUCGCAUGAUACAGCAAUUAAAGGAGUAAUCCGCUAUGAGAUGGGCCCGCGGCGCAUUAGCUAGUUGGUGGGGGAACGGCUCACCAAGGCGAGGAUGCGUAGCCGACCUGAGAGGGGGAACGGCCACAUUGGGACGGAGGCCCGGCCCAGACUCCUACGGGAGGCAGCAGUGGGGAAUAUUGCGCAAUGGGGGAAACCCUGAUGCAGCAACGCCGCGUGAGUGAUGACGGCCUUCGGGUUGUAAAGCUCUGUCUUCAGGGACGAUAAUGACGGUACCUGAGGAGGAAGCCACGGCUAACUACGUGCCAGCCGCCGCCGUAA